UUACUUGGGAGUAAACAUUAAAGCAAAUAUUUUUAUUGCAAGUGUUGUAAUGAAUGUAAAAUGCUGACCUGAAACAACAUGAACAUGAAUCUAAUCCUAGAAAAAGUAAUGUUUGAUAGACUUCUGCUGCUUCUGCCCCUUUGGACUGUUUAUUGGUCCUGAUCCGCCCUGUAUGGCUCUGCUCAGUCAUGGGUGGGUUGUCUUCUGUUAGACAGCCAACCCUAAUCCAGUUAAAAUAAGCUUUCCACUGCAUUUUGCGCUGUAUUACGGAUCUCUUUAACAUUUUUGGUGUGGUUACACUAUUUAUUUUUAGAGUUGGGCAGAGAAUAAACACUGAGUGGCUGUACUCUACAGUCACACAAGACAUCUAAAAGUAAGUUGUCCUGCAUAAAAACAUCAGGUCAUCAUGAAGACUGGUCUCAUCCUCCUGCUCUGCAUCCUGGCAGCGUCCACGGUGGUCUGCCAGUGUAGGAACAACUCCAAAAGCCUUAUUUAUAUAGGCUGUGAAUUUGAUGUGUUACACGUUGAAGAAUAUUUAUUUUUAUAAAGCAUAGUUUAAUUUCCUGGUCUUCAGUUCCGCUUGAAUGCUGCUUCACCUACUACCUAAGAAGAAUCAAAAAAGACUUAAUUCAGUCGUAUUUUCGAACAGAUGAGCAAUGCGAAAAACCUGCGGUCAUCUUUGUGACUACACAUUUUCGUCACAUUUGUGUGGACCCGAAUCUG